UCUGCAACUCCUUUUUCAGGACACGUGG
rnacentral:piRNA from 1 species